rnacentral:rRNA from 1 species
UACGGAGGGUGCAAGCGUUGUUCGGAAUUACUGGGCGUAAAGGGCGCGUAGGCGGCCUUCUAAGUCGAACGUGAAAUCCCCGGGCUCAACCCGGGAACUGCGUCCGAUACUGGAAGGCUUGAAUCCGGGAGAGGGAUGCGGAAUUCCAGGUGUAGCGGUGAAAUGCGUAGAUAUCUGGAGGAACACCGGUGGCGAAGGCGGCAUCCUGGGACCGGCAUUGACGCUGAGGCGCGAAAGCCAGGGGAGCAAACGGG